rnacentral:lncRNA from 1 species
ACAGGCACCACAGGACUUUGGCUGGGCUCACUCAAGAAAACAUACUGGAAGCCAGGUGUCCCCUGGAGUGCCACGAUCGCGGGCGCCCCCUCGGGCUGUCCAAUGCAAAAAGUUACCUGGUGGAGGCGUCUCUGCAACUAACUUCUCCCUCUUGGGAGCCUUCUUGGGCUUGAUGGCCUUCUUGGGAGUCCUAGGGCCCUGCUGGUGCGGCUCCUGCGGUUCCUGCUCCUCCACCCUAAGGUCCUCAUGCAGUGAAGGCGAGAAGAGCUCCGGCUCCGACUCAGGCUCAGGCUCCGGAUGCCCAUAAUAGCGCCCGCGCCUCCAGAGCUCCUGGCUGUAAUAGUCAGGCUCCUCGAAGGCUGCGCCCUGGGCUCUGACUCCAGCCAGGGCCACCGCCACAAGUGCCAGCGCCAGCGCCAGCGCCAGCGCAGGGCAGGCGGUCCCCAGACGGGCCAUGCCCUCUCUGCCCCGCACCCCGGAACAAAUCUGAGUUAAGACCGGCCUGAAAUGCUAAGGUGAUAACCACCAGGCUGCCCUCCAGUCUUGUUGCCCCAGCCCAAGGAGAAACCCCAGAUUCCCUAGAUGAAGUUCCCUGGGAGCAGGGCCAAAGGGUCUGGGGACUCCUGCUGCCUACCCUCCAGAGUGUGGUUCUGUAGGAGAGAUUGGAGCCAGCCGAAGACCACUAUCUCAUAAGUUACAAGAGGGCAUUUGUCUCUUCCAAGUAUCCAGGUUUCUCUGGAGAACCCUGAUGUCACUUCCCUUUGAUAAAGUGCCUCCCACCGUUACCC